rnacentral:misc_RNA from 1 species
CAGAAUAUUUGUCCUUUCUCUCUUUUAAUCUGACGGCCCAAAAUUCUCUUAUCAAGGGCGAUCCGAGGGCUAGGAGUGAAAGGCGCUGGUCUUGUCGCCUUCUCUUUGAUCCAAGGGCUUCGGACUCGUCCUUACAAGUUAGAUCAACGGUGGAGAUCGAGAUGUACAGGACUGUCAUGACAUGCUCUGGCACCUGUCAGUAAUGUGG